AACUCCUUUACCUACAGACCAGCUAAUCCCCCUGCCUGCCCUAGCCCCGCCCUCUUUACCUGUCUCGUGCCCCGCCUCCGCCUGCAGCUCGCGGAGACACGUCACCAGGCCUCAAGGGCGCUGCCAGCCUACAGACCAGGCCCCGCCCCCUGCAAUGCAAGACCCUGAAGCCAAUCCCAGGCCCACCGGCUCGCGCGGUUGCUAGGAAACGGGUAGCUUCUGCUCGUGACUUACC